rnacentral:rRNA from 1 species
GAUGAACGCUGGCGGCGUGCCUAAUACAUGCAAGUCGAGCGAACAGACGAGGAGCUUGCUCCUCUGAAGUUAGCGGCGGACGGGUGAGUAACACGCGGAUAACCUACCUAUAAGACUGGGAUAACUUCGGGAAACCGGAGCUAAUACCGGAUAACAUGUUGAACCGCAUGGUUCAACAGUGAAAGAUGGUCUUGCUGUCACUUAUAGAUGGAUCCGCGCCGCAUUAGCUAGUUGGUAAGGUAACGGCUUACCAAGGCAACGAUGCGUAGCCGACCUGAGAGGGUGAUCGGCCACACUGGAACUGAGACACGGUCCAGACUCCUACGGGAGGCAGCAGUAGGGAAUCUUCCGCAAUGGGCAAAAGCCUGACGGAGCAACGCCGCGUGAGUGAAGAAGGUCUUCGGAUCGUAAAACUCUGUUAUUAGGGAAGAACAAAUGUGUAAGUAACUAUGCACGUCUUGACGGUACCUAAUCAGAAAGCCACGGCUAACUACGUGCCAGCAGCCGCGGUAAUACGUAGGUGGCAAGCGUUAUCCGGAAUUAUUGGGCGUAAAGCGCGCGUAGGCGGUUUUUUAAGUCUGAUGUGAAAGCCCACGGCUCAACCGUGGAGGGUCAUUGGAAACUGGAAAACUUGAGUGCAGAAGAGGAAAGUGGAAUUCCAUGUGUAGCGGUGAAAUGCGCAGAGAUAUGGAGGAACACCAGUGGCGAAGGCGACUUUCUGGUCUGUAACUGACGCUGAUGUGCGAAAGCGUGGGGAUCGAACAGGGUUAGAUACCCUGGUAGUCCACGCCGUAAACGAUGAGUGCUAAGUGUUAGGGGGUUUCCGCCCCUUAGUGCUGCAGCUAACGCAUUAAGCACUCCGCCUGGGGAGUACGACCGCAAGGUUGAAACUCAAAGGAAUUGACGGGGACCCGCACAAGCGGUGGAGCAUGUGGUUUAAUUCGAAGCAACGCGAAGAACCUUACCAAAUCUUGACAUCCUCUGACCCCUCUAGAGAUAGAGUUUUCCCCUUCGGGGGACAGAGUGACAGGUGGUGCAUGGUUGUCGUCAGCUCGUGUCGUGAGAUGUUGGGUUAAGUCCCGCAACGAGCGCAACCCUUAAGCUUAGUUGCCAUCAUUAAGUUGGGCACUCUAAGUUGACUGCCGGUGACAAACCGGAGGAAGGUGGGGAUGACGUCAAAUCAUCAUGCCCCUUAUGAUUUGGGCUACACACGUGCUACAAUGGACAAUACAAAGGGUAGCGAAACCGCGAGGUCAAGCAAAUCCCAUAAAGUUGUUCUCAGUUCGGAUUGUAGUCUGCAACUCGACUACAUAAAGCUGGAAUCGCUAGUAAUCGUAGAUCAGCAUGCUACGGUGAAUACGUUCCCGGGUCUUGUACACACCGCCCGUCACACCACGAGAGUUUGUAACACCCGAAGCCGGUGGAGUAACCUUUUGGAGCUAGCCGUCGAAGGUGGGACAAAUGAUUGGGGUGAAGUCGUAACAAGGUAGCCGUAUCGGAAGG